GUGCAGCAGGCGAGAAUACUUUACAAUGUGCGAAAGCACGAUAAGGGAACUCUGAGUGCCUCCUAAGGAGGCUGUUCAGGUGUCUAAAAAGCACCUGGAGUAAGGGCUGGGUAAGACCGGUGCCAGCCGCCGCGGUAACACCGGCAGCCCAGGUGGUAGCCACUUUUAUUGGGUCUAAAGCGUCCGUAGCCGGUUGAGUAAGUUCCUUGGGAAAUUUGGCUGCUCAACAGUCAAGCUUCCAGGGAAUACUGCUCGACUUGGGACUGGGAGAGGUCAGAGGUACUCCAGGGGUAGGGGUGAAAAUCCAUUAAUCCCUGGGGGACCACCGGUAGCGAAGGCGUCUGACCAGACCAGGUCCGACGGUGAGGGACGAAGGCUAGGGGCGCGAACCGGAUUAGAUA
rnacentral:rRNA from 1 species